AGGCGGCAUGCCUACCAUGCAAGUCGUACGGAGAGUGGGGCGACUCACUCUCAGUGGCAAACGGGUGAGUAACACGUGAAUAACCUGCCUUUGAGAAGGGGAUAACUGUCCGAAAGGAUAGCUAAUACCCUAUAUUGCCUUUUGUCACUAAGGCAAAAGGUGAAAGCGAGGCUGUCAAAGGCUUCGGCUCAAAGAGGGGUUCGCGUCCUAUCAGGUAGUUGGUGGGGUAAUGGCCUACCAAGCCAAUGACGGUAGCUGGUCUUAGGGGAUAAUCAGCCACAGUGGGACUGAGACACGGCCCGCACCCCUACGGGGGGCAGCAGUGGGGAAUCGUGGGCAAUGGGCGCAAGCCUGACCCCGCAAUGCCGCGUGAGGGAAGAAGCCCUUCGGGGUGUAAACCUCUGUCGGAUGGGAAGAUGGGACUAGGGGCUAAUACCUCCUAGUCUUGACGGUACCAUCAGAGGAAGGGACGGCUAACUACGUGCCAGCAGCCGCGGUAAU
rnacentral:rRNA from 1 species